rnacentral:rRNA from 1 species
UCGCUCUUCAACGAGGAAUCCCUAGUAAGCACAAGUCACCAGCUUGUGCUGAUUACGUCCCUGCCCUUUGUACACACCGCCCGUCGCUACUACCGAUUGAAUGGCUUAGUGAGGCCCUCGGAUCGACUUUCUGAGACUGGCAACAGUCUCUGAUUGUUGAGAAGUUGGUCAAACUUGGUCAUUUAGAGGAAGUAAAAGUCGUAACAAGGUUUCCGUAGGUGAACCUGCGGAAGGAUCAUUAAUGAUUUGGCGAACCUAACGUUAGUUAGGUUUUGCGAUCACUUAUUUAAAACCCAACUCUUAAAUGUAUAAUUUAUGUAUUUCUUAAUAAGAAAAAUAAAGAUCACUUUCAACAACGGAUCUCUUGGCUCUCGCAUCGAUGAAGAACGUAGCGAAGUGCGAUAAGUAAUGUGAAUUGCAGAAUUCCGUGAAUCAUCGAAUCUUUGAACGCAAAUUGCACUUUCUGGUAUUCCGGAAAGUAUGCCUGUUUGAGGGUCAGUUAAAUAAAAAUCGGUGUUAUUGCUUAUUUAAUGGUGAUGCAUCGGAAUUGAGUCGUCUUUACCUUUGGCUUAAGUGACUUAAAAUUAUGUACGAUUUCUGAACGUAUUUAAAUUAUUUACAUACGCUCAUGAUAAUCACAUAUUAGGUGCGGUCAUCCACAUGAUUUCGCGUCUAUAAUUUUUUCAUUAUUUGACCUCAAAUCAGGUAAGAAUACCCGCUGAACUUAAGCAUAUCAAUAAGCGGAGGAAAAGAAAAUAACAAUGAUUCCCUUAGUAACGGCGAGUGAAGGGGGAUAAGCUCAAAUUUUAAAUCUGCUAGGUUUUACUUAUCAGAGUUGUAAUUUGAAGAAGCGUUUUCCGCGUCUCGGUUGACCCAAAUCCUUUGGGAUAUGGUAUCAUGGAGGGUGAGAAUCCCGUCCGGUUGACUUUGUGACGCUUUACGAUACGUUUUCAAAGAGUCGAGUUGUUUGGGAUUGCAGCUCAAAAUGGGAGGUAAAUUUCUCCUAAGGCUAAAUAUUGGCGAGAGACCGAUAGCGAACAAGUACCGUGAGGGAAAGAUGAAAAGAACUUUGAAAAGAGAGUAAAAUAGUACGUGAAAUUGUUGAAAGGGAAACGAUUGAAGUCAGUCGUACCGACGGAAAAUCAACUCUUCGAGUGUGGACUUUGUGGACGUGCGUGAGCUUUAACGGCCUCGCUGUUUGUAACGUUUGUGCUUUUUGGGUGUACUUUUUCGUAUGGUAGGCCAACAUCAGUUUUGAUCGCUAUAAAAUGACCGGAGGAAUGUAGCUUCGAUCUCGUAUUGAAGUGUUAUAGCCUUUGGUAGAUGUGGUGAUCGGGACUGAGGAUUGCAACGAAUAUCCUUUGGGCUAUCCGUCUGAUCUCUGAAAGUCGCUUAGGUGCCGAAAGCUUGCUUACGGUCAUUUAAGUUUGACGGUCAAAAGGUUAGAACGUGAUUACAUUCGUUAAGGAUGUUGGCGUAAUGGCUUUAAACGACCCGUCUUGAAACACGGACCAAGGAGUCUAGCAUAUAUGCGAGUGUUU